rnacentral:snRNA from 1 species
AAAAAGGGCUUCUGUCAUGAGUGGCACACAUAGGGCAACUUGAUUGCUCUGUGUGCAGAAUCGAAUGCAGAAUUUAAUAUUACGAUGAAAGUUUUCCAG